rnacentral:rRNA from 1 species
UUAGGAUUGACAGAUUGAGAGUUCUUUCUUGAUUGGUCUAGUGGUGGUGCAUGGCCGUUCUUAGUUGGUGGAGUGAUUUGUCUGGUUAAUUCCGUUAACGAACGAGACCUUAACCUGCUAACUAGUGGCUUGAUCUCAAAUCGAGUGCACUUCUUAGAGGGACUAUGUGAUGUAAUCACAUGGAAGUUUGAGGCAAUAACAGGUCUGUGAUGCCCUUAGAUGUCCUGAGCUGCACGCGUACUACAAUGGCACUUUCAACGAGUUUUUCCUGAUCCGAAAGGAUUUGGGUAAUCUUUUUAGUGAGUGCCGUGCUUGGGAUAGCUCUUUGUAAUUGUGGAACUUGAACUAGGAAUUCCUAGUAAGCGCGAGUCAUCAACUCGUGCUGAUUACGUCCCUGCAAAAUGUACACACCGCCCGUCGCUUUUACCGAUUGAGUGUUCAGGUGAGUCUUCUUGAUAGUGUCAAAGCUAAAAAUUGAACAAACCUUAGCACUUAGAGGAAAAAGAAGUCGUAACAAGGUUUCCGUAGGUGAACCUGCGGA